CUUUUUUUUUGCCCUAUAUCACAUAAUUAUGAAAACACAUUACAUAGAUAGGGAAUACUGUGCUUGUGUACACGUUUGAAUGUGUAGGUGGCACACUCAGAACGAUUGUCUCUAGAUUUUUUUUUUUAAAUUCGUCCCGGCCUUUCCGGGUUCACGUAGCAACACGUUUCUUUCCUUUCCAGCUAUUCCUGAUUAUGAAUAAAUCCAAAACAUGCAUUUAUCCCAAAGCAACAACUAUUAAACAACUCACCUAUACCAAUGGUGAUCGUCUAAUUCCUAGCUGAUUCCUUUAAUCGUACCUUUCUUGACGACACCCAUCGUUGUAGCGUCUACCAUUGGAGGUAGCGAAAUUACAUGAUUUGA
rnacentral:lncRNA from 1 species